AAGUAUUAGGAAGUUUAUUUAAACUAGUGCUAAGAUUUUUUUAUUAAUGGUUGAAACUUAAUAUUAUAGUUAGUAGUUGUUGGUAACAUAAAUGUAUAAUAAUGAUUGUAUGUUUCAUUCAUAAAUGUUUUGCGUUUUAAGCAUUUUAAUAAAUGUAUGUAUCAUUUAUAAAUGUUAUGUGUUUUAAUAAAUUUAUUUUCUAGGUCACAAGUAUAAAAGGUAAAGUGAUCGUAUCUAAUGUAGCAUAAUCUUUUAAAAUUAUAGUAAAUUUACCCAUAUAUUAAGUUUCGUGAGUUUCAAAUAUAUUUCGUAUCAUUCACAAUAUGGAUUUACAUGCACAUUUUUUAUGAAACUUACUUUUAAUUGGCAAAUAGUAUGUAAAUUAUUAUAAAAUAUCAUUUUAUAAUAAUCAUAAUUUUUAUAGGUGAAUGGUAUUUUAGCUGCUAAAAUUGUCAAUUUAUAAAUGAUCAAAUCUUACUACUUUAUGAUGAUUGGUUUACAUGCAGCAAUGAUUGUGGUGUAUACGUUAUUAACUUCAUGAAGUCAUCUGAAGUGGAACAAAUGAGUUCAAUCAUGUUUCACUCCGAGACUGAACGUUUUAACAUUGCAAUGGAAUUGGUCCCUACACCCUAAGAAUGCAUGGGGAUUUCUUCUAGAAGAUCAUUUGCAGAGAAGAUGAACAAUGAAAGUAUUCAUAGUUGAAAAAAAAAAUUCUAAUUUAUCUUUGCUAUUUCUAGCUGAAUAACAAGUACCUAGUAAGGCAGAAGAACGUUUCAAGUCUUGUUGCCACUUUAUUUUAUGGGCCCUUAAUUUUGACGUGUACACAAACUUGCCAUGGACUGCAGUCAAAGCACUACUGCUUGGUUCUAAGCUC